GACCCUGCGGUUUUAUUGUUGAACUUAGCUAGCACUGGACGUGCCACUCGGUUGCUGAAGAAUUGAACACCAUGACUACUGCAGUCAACAAGCUUGAAAGUAGCUCUGACACACGUAACCGACCGCAGAGAAAUGCAGACGGCUUUGAAAGACACGGCAGACACACGUGCGGUUUCUGCGUCUGAGGUAAGCCGUGUUCUAAGUCUCUCCUGUAAAGUGUCCAGUGCAACAUUUCUUGUUUGAAUUCGUGGGAUAUUGUAAUGUUCUCAUAUUCGCUGAUGAUGGUUCUUGCACCCAGAGGCGGGGUCAACUCGACAGCGUCUGCUGCACCAGGCGCAGAAGAAUCAAAAGCUUGUGGCGAUGCCUUUGAUUCCUCGGCCUUCAGACAAAGUGUUCUUUGAAAAUGCCCACGUACGACACCCCCGCCGCUACCAUGAAUCGUUUCUGCGCAGUCGACCCUACAGAGGAGAGCCUCCGACCGUGGCUGGAUUUCUCCCGUAUCCAGACACACCUUUGAAGAUGGAGACCACAUCCAGGGAGGCUUUCUGCUUUAGAGGAGACAUCACACGGAGCAAACAUUCGUCAUCCUCAAAAAGAAACCCCAAAAGCAAACGGCAGCCCAUGCAGCCGUUCUGAAAAGGGUGAGUAUGACGGGAGCUUUGGCCACCCGGUGUUACCGUGUGUGAACAAUGAGCAGACCGAGAUGAAAUCGCAGUAUCAGAGAGAUUUCCCCCGGCCGUCCUCUCACCGGAGGAGGCAAACUCCUGCUUGUCCGCAGCCAGACAACCUGGGCAUCAACCCCGCUUUCAGGAUCGAGUUCAGCACCGUGCAGAAAGAGGCAUACCCGGAGCCGGCUCAUCACGAAGCCGAGAAGCAGAAACUGGCUUCAUCCAGACAACAAGACGUCUGAGCGCCAACCUGCACAUGUACGGACACGCUGGAAAUAAAACCUUCUGCUACUUUGAUCCCGAGGCAAUGCAAAGGAAAUAGCUUCUGCAACUUCAACAACUAUAAACGUUUUGACAAGGAGACAAGAUGUUCUCACCAGAGUCUCAUGACUUGAUUGAUUUCUGAGAAUUUCCCC